rnacentral:rRNA from 1 species
GAUGAACGCUGGCGGCGUGCCUAAUACAUGCAAGUCGAGCGAACAGACGAGGAGCUUGCUCCUCUGACGUUAGCGGCGGACGGGUGAGUAACACGUGGAUAACCUACCUAUAAGACUGGGAUAACUUCGGGAAACUGGAGCUAAUACCGGAUAAUAUAUUGAACCGUAUGGUUCAAUAGUGAAAGACGGUUUUGCUGUCACUUAUAGAUGGAUCCGCGCCGCAUUAGCUAGUUGGUAAGGUAACGGCUUACCAAGGCAACGAUGCGUAGCCGACCUGAGAGGGUGAUCGGCCACACUGGAACUGAGACACGGUCCAGACUCCUACGGGAGGCAGCAGUAGGGAAUCUUCCGCAAUGGGCGAAAGCCUGACGGAGCAACGCCGCGUGAGUGAUGAAGGUCUUCGGAUCGUAAAACUCUGUUAUUAGGGAAGAACAAAUGUGUAAGUAACUAUGCACGUCUUGACGGUACCUAAUCAGAAAGCCACGGCUAACUACGUG